AAACGACUCUCGGCAACGGAUAUCUCGGCUCACGCAUCGAUGAAGAACGUAGCAAAAUGCGAUACUUGGUGUGAAUUGCAGGAUCCCGUGAACCAUCGAGUUUUUGAACGCAAGUUGCGCCCGAAGCCACCCGGUUGAGGGCACGUCUGCCUGGGCGUCACGC
rnacentral:rRNA from 2 species